GUGCUCACUUCCGCAGCACAUAUAAUAAAACUGGAACAAUACAGAGAAGAUUAGCAUGGCCCCUGAGCAAGGAUGACAUGCAAAUUCGUGAAGCAUUACAUAUUUGU
ensembl:snRNA U6 U6 spliceosomal RNA